GCUGCCGGGUCUGGCUCCCCGGGCGUGGGAUCUGUGUCCUUGAGCGGACGGUGGUUUGGGGGGACCCUGGGUCCUGGAGGAGGAAGAGGCUGGGUCCUCGGGCUCUAAGGUCUUGAGUCGAAGGGAGACAGGGAGUGGGUCUUAGAUCUGGUCCUAGAAGAAGGCGGUACUAGGGGUUCAGAUCCUUGGGUUCCCCGGGCGCCGGGGCCCUGGAAGACAGGCGCUUCUUCUUUUGUCGUCAGUUAUUAAAACCAUGCCCGGAAGCUCUGUGCCUUCCCUGCCCCCUCCACGAAGGUCAGCUCCCGGAAUCCUAGCCCUGGGGACGCGCAGCGGCACGUCGGGUCACAGCCGCUCGGACUAGCGUCUGAGCUGCGCGGACGCCCAGCCGCCCUAGGCAGCGUGCGGCUACGGGAGCUGGGCUGCUCGCGCCCUCUGUCGCUGGGGGUCGGGGCCCCGUGGGCAGUGGAGGGUCCUUUCCAGAUGCUACGGUCGCUAGUCCAGUCCGCUGUGCCGCCUUGAACACGUGGUGGGCACUGCGGAGUCGGUCCUGCGGGCUGUCAGUCUCUUAGCUCUGGGCAGGCUCGCAAGGACACAGCACCGGGGACAGCUGGAUGGUAAUCGCUCUUUCUCGCUUCUUAUGAAGCCACCAGGAUUAUCUAAUCCUAAUCACUUCCCAAAGGCCUCAUCUCUAAGCACCGUAGUCAGAUUAAGCUUCCGCCCUCUUAGUACUUUAGAGUGGGGAUUAAGUUUCAACAUGUGAAGCCUUGGGGGACACACUCAGGUCAUAUCCAAGCCUUAGCAUCUUCUGUAAUUGUUCCACUGAAAACGGGAUGUGAGCGGAGCGGUGAUGUGGUGGGUCUGGUAAAGCCGCCGCAUCCGAUAGGGUCGCCUGUUCAAGUUCCGGCAGCUUCAGUUCUGAUCCAGCUCUCUGCUAUGGCCUAGGAAGACAGUGGAGGAUGACCCAAGUCUGGGUCCCUGCACCACGUGGGAGACCCGGAAGAAGCUCCUGGCUCCUGGCUCCUGGCUUCAGAUCGGUGCAGCUGCGGCUGUUGCAGCCAUCUGGGUGUUUGAAAAGUUCUAAGAGCUCUCUGAAGAUUCUGAUGUGUGGUCAGUGUUGUGAACACUAGCACAGAGUGGACAUGCCAGGGAAGACCACAAUUUUUAGCUGCACAUAUGGCCACCCAGCUAAAGAUACAUCCUCCAGCUCCUCUCGCAGCCAGAUGGGGUCCAUCCGUGACGUCUGGGCCAAUGGGAAGUGGACGGAAGUGAUGUGUGCCUUUUCCGCAUUGUACCCCUGAAGUCGGAGGAGGGCCCUCCUUGUCCCUUCUUUGUUCCCUUCCAGUCUGCUCGAGUGUAGUUGUGGUGAGGAACAGAUGAGGGCAAAGCCACAGGCGAGAGAGAUUCACACAGAGAAGGAAUCUGUGUCUGGAAGAACCAAGCUGGUUAUACUCGGAUUGCUCCUGAGACAGAAAUAAACUGCUAUCGCGGUUCAGCCAGUGCGAUUCUGAGCCACAGUGACAGCAUUUGGACAAAGUGCCUACUUAAUGUAGAAGCUAACACAGAGAGGGAAGUGCAGGGAUGCAAGACGGGCAGAAACGAAGUCCUAGUGACCUCAGUGGAGUCCCUGAAGCCAGCCAUGCCUGAAGGCUUCAGCUUUACAGAUAAGUGAGAGAGGAUGAGUUCUAUUUUGUGUCUAACCCAUUCUAUGCCAUUAUUCUAUAAAGAUGUAAACUGAGCAAUAAAUGUAUCAGUUACGAUAACUUUGAAA